rnacentral:rRNA from 1 species
CGAAUGCUGACAUAAGUAACGAUAAAGCGGGUGAAAAGCCCGCUCGCCGGAAGACCAAGGGUUCCUGUCCAACGUUAAUCGGGGCAGGGUGAGUCGACCCCUAAGGCGAGGCCGAAAGGCGUAGUCGAUGGGAAACAGGUUAAUAUUCCUGUACUUGGUGUUACUGCGAAGGGGGGACGGAGAAGGCUAUGUUGGCCGGGCGACGGUUGUCCCGGUUUAAGCGUGUAGGCUGGUUUUCCAGGCAAAUCCGGAAAAUCAAGGCUGAGGCGUGAUGACGAGGCACUACGGUGCUGAAGCAACAAAUGCCCUGCUUCCAGGAAAAGCCUCUAAGCAUCAGGUAACAUCAAAUCGUACCCCAAACCGACACAGGUGGUCAGGUAGAGAAUACCAAGGCGCUUGAGAGAACUCGGGUGAAGGAACUAGGCAAAAUGGUGCCGUAACUUCGGGAGAAGGCACGCUGAUAUGUAGGUGAAGCGACUUGCUCGUGGAGCUGAAAUCAGUCGAAGAUACCAGCUGGCUGCAACUGUUUAUUAAAAACACAGCACUGUGCAAACACGAAAGUGGACGUAUACGGUGUGACGCCUGCCCGGUGCCGGAAGGUUAAUUGAUGGGGUUAGCGCAAGCGAAGCUCUUGAUCGAAGCCCCGGUAAACGGCGGCCGUAACUAUAACGGUCCUAAGGUAGCGAAAUUCCUUGUCGGGUAAGUUCCGACCUGCACGAAUGGCGUAAUGAUGGCCAGGCUGUCUCCACCCGAGACUCAGUGAAAUUGAACUCGCUGUGAAGAUGCAGUGUACCCGCGGCAAGACGGAAAGACCCCGUGAACCUUUACUAUAGCUUGACACUGAACAUUGAGCCUUGAUGUGUAGGAUAGGUGGGAGGCUUUGAAGUGUGGACGCCAGUCUGCAUGGAGCCGACCUUGAAAUACCACCCUUUAAUGUUUGAUGUUCUAACGUUGGCCCGUUAUCCGGGUUGCGGACAGUGUCUGGUGGGUAGUUUGACUGGGGCGGUCUCCUCCUAAAGAGUAACGGAGGAGCACGAAGGUUGGCUAAUCCUGGUCGGACAUCAGGAGGUUAGUGCAAUGGCAUAAGCCAGCUUGACUGCGAGCGUGACGGCGCGAGCAGGUGCGAAAGCAGGUCAUAGUGAUCCGGUGGUUCUGAAUGGAAGGGCCAUCGCUCAACGGAUAAAAGGUACUCCGGGGAUAACAGGCUGAUACCGCCCAAGAGUUCAUAUCGACGGCGGUGUUUGGCACCUCGAUGUCGGCUCAUCACAUCCUGGGGCUGAAGUAGGUCCCAAGGGUAUGGCUGUUCGCCAUUUAAAGUGGUACGCGAGCUGGGUUUAGAACGUCGUGAGACAGUUCGGUCCCUAUCUGCCGUGGGCGCUGGAGAACUGAGGGGGGCUGCUCCUAGUACGAGAGGACCGGAGUGGACGCAUCACUGGUGUUCGGGUUGUCAUGCCAAUGGCACUGCCCGGUAGCUAAAUGCGGAAGAGAUAAGUGCUGAAAGCAUCUAAGCACGAAACUUGCCCCGAGAUGAGUUCUCCCUGACUCCCUGAGAGUCCUGAAGGAACGUUGAAGACGACGACGUUGAUAGGCCGGGUGUGUAAGCGCAGCGAUGCGUUGAGCUAACCGGUACUAAUGAACCGUGAG